ACCGGUCUAUUUCCCAAGCAUAACAAUAUUUCACGUCUUCUCUUUCGUCCCUUGUUAUCAUUUGUUUCCAAUGAUAAAAAUUCAAUAAUUCAAAGCUAAAAAAUUGUGAAACUGUUGUUGCACCUUGCUAUCUUUGCUGAAUAUUUCACCUCUUCUCAUGCUUCUGCUUCUCCAAUGGUACUAUGUUUAUCGUCGUCUUUACAGCUAAGAUUGUCUACUUUAAGAGUCUUUCCUACCUCUCCCAAAGGUUUAACCAUCAAUUUUCGGUCUUUCAAUAGAUGGAUUUCCUUCAACCAAUCUUUCAUCAAUUUCCCAACUUCUAACAAAGAACCUGUUUAUUAAGAGCACACUCUUCCAAAUCUAAAAACAAGCUGAAUUUUCUGUUUGAUGUCCACAAACAAAAUCCUCCCACUUUAAGAGCAACUUUCAUUUUUGGUUGUUCGCUCCAAAAUUUUCUUGAGACAAAUAAAGGAAAUGGAAGGCUUUCAUGGAUCAUACCUUUUGUGCCACUGAGCUAUCCCCGCUUCAGUUCCAAUGGUCUUCACUCUGAUGCUCUCCCAACUGAGCUAUCCCCACUUUAGCUCCAACAGUCUGUUUUUGUCAUUACAGAUUCUCGACUUUGGCUUUGAUCAGUUGGGUGCAAAUGGAUCUCGGGUGCAACGAUAAGUUUACUUCUUUUGUAACCAUCUCUUAAAUGAUCUAAUGUACAGCUGCUUGUGUUGGUAAUUAGGAAUACUUUAGCAAUAUGUAAAUUGUCUUUAGGUAUUAGUUUUCAUAGGAUUUGAACUUGGUUUGACAUUUUUCUUCAUGCUGUAUUGUAUUAUUGGUUUCCAUAUUCGUUGUUAAAACUAUCUAUAUAUGACAUUUCAAUUUUAAUUUAUUCUUUCUCGAUUUGUUGUUUAUUUGAAGGCAAAACAGAUUGAUCAUCCUAUCCUUAUCACAUAAUGUGUGUGUAACCUAGUUCAAUCUCGCAAGUCUGAAGGUGUAAGCACUCAAUUAAAUGUUACAUAUGUGGCUUGCCAUGCAAGGUGAAACCAUUCUUUACAUCACUGAUUCUUAUGUCGGUUAAAAAUGGAAAUGCCCUUCUGUGAUUUUAUCUUUCUAUUUAGGUUUGGGAUUGAGCAAGAGUACACUUGGACCAACAAUGGAUCAUGCAUUGAAUUUCUAAUUUAGAUAAAAGAAGGUUUUUUGUGCCUUAAUCUUUCAUAUAUUCUUUUUGUUGUUAAUUGAAUCUCAAUUUUUGUAAAAAAUACAUGUCCUGUUACCAUAAAAGCUUCUGAUAAGUUUUCUUUUGUCUCAAUAAAAUGCUAGUGGUAUCAAAAGCAUUAGAAAUUAUUCUUGUUGAAUAUGCUUCUGAGUCUUCUACAUGUUAUUUUAUUGUUGUUGGGUGGAUAGGAUUUUAUUGUAGGAGCUGUGGUCAUUGCUAGAGUUGAUGAUGCCUGACCUUUUUGCCACUAAGGAUGUAGACUUGAAGAAGCUACUAAAUGCAAAAGAUAAGGAGUUGAUUGAUCGGAUGAAGCCCAUUUUGUGGCCAUUCAUCUUAAGGCACUUGAAAUCAGAUGUGAUGUAGCUACUUAGCUCAAAGAUACAACGGCAGAUGCUUUCUUACUAAGGUUUUUAAUGAGAUAUUGAGUUUUGUUUUCUUAUAGUUUGUAGAUUAGUGUUUGCAAAGUUAUACUCACAAAUUUAUUUGGUUUCCAAAUGUUAAAAAAAAAAUUGACUAUGAAAUCAUCGUGAAAAAAGACUCUGCUAGUAAAUCACUAUGAAAUUGCUCUGAGAGACUCAGAGAAUUUUCAAUGCGAAGAGUUCUUUCAUUUUUUUUCUUUCUUUUUCCAAUUUUCUUUUAGAUUCUUCAGAGUUUGCCUUCAAUUGUUUAUUUAUUAUUCUAUUUGAUGAUACUCUGCUGCUGAGGGAAACCUUAAGCUUUCAAAGCAGAAAAGCUCUAUGCAGAAUGCAAAUUUGAUGUGUGGUGACAACUUCAUUUUGGUUGCUUAAUUUUACAAGCAUUUAAUUGGUUAAGCAAUAUGAUGAUAAAAUGAAAGGAAAAUUAAAAAAAAAAAUCGAAAUAGAUCAACGAAAUUUUUGUGAGCAUUUUUUAUUCCCGUUGCUUACUUCUAACUUGAAAAUUGUUAAUGAAAUUUGUAACGUAGUUGUUAAGUUAGUUAUUGAUUCACUGAUUGUAACUCACAAUAUUUAGGGUUUGGUUUGAUGUUCCAAAACAGAAGAUGCUCCCAACUUAUUUUAAUUCUAAAAUUAAAUUAUAAGUAUAUAACUUUAUUUUAUUUUCACGGUAAAACGUGGGUAUGUAACCUAGUUAACCUUAAUUGAGGGCCUCAUUCUUUGAAAUUUGUCAAACAAUUAGGCCUUCAUAAUUU